UACGAAGGGGGCUAGCGUUGCUCGGAAUCACUGGGCGUAAAGCGCACGUAGGCGGACUCUUAAGUCGGUGGUGAAAUCCUGGAGCUCAACUCCAGAACUGCCUUCGAUACUGAGAGUCUCGAGCCGGGAGAGGUGAGUGGAACUGCGAGUGUAGAGGUGAAAUUCGUAGAUAUUCGCAAGAACACCAGUGGCGAAGGCGGGCUC
rnacentral:rRNA from 1 species